rnacentral:rRNA from 1 species
AGUGGCGGACGGGUGAGUAACGCGUGAGAAUCUGCCUUGGGGUCGGGGACAACCACUGGAAACGGUGGCUAAUACCGGAUACGCCUUCGGGUAAAAGAUUUAUUGCCCUAAGAGGAGCUCGCGUCUGAUUAGCUAGUUGGUGAGGUAAGAGCUCACCAAGGCAGCGAUCAGUAGCUGGUCUGAGAGGACGAUCAGCCACACUGGGACUGAGACACGGCCCAGACUCCUACGGGAGGCAGCAGUGGGGAAUUUUCCGCAAUGGGCGAAAGCCUGACGGAGCAAGACCGCGUGAGGGAGGAAGGCUCUUGGGUUGUAAACCUCUUUUCUCAGGGAAGAAGCUCUGACGGUACCUGAGGAAUCAGCCUCGGCUAACUCCGUGCCAGCAGCCGCGGUAAUACGGAGGAGGCAAGCGUUAUCCGGAAUUAUUGGGCGUAAAGCGUCCGCAGGUGGCGAUUCAAGUCUGCUGUCAAAGCACGGGGCUUAACUCCGUAAAGGCAGUGGAAACUGAAUAGCUAGAGUGCCGUAGGGGUAGAGGGAAUUCCCGGUGUAGCGGUGAAAUGCGUAGAGAUCGGGAAGAACAUCGGUGGCGAAAGCGCUCUACUGGACGGCAUCUGACACUCAGGGACGAAAGCUAGGGGAGCGAAUGGGAUUAGAUACCCC